GAUGAACGCUGGCGGCGUGCCUAAUACAUGCCAGUAGAACGCUGAAGGAAGGAGCUUGCUCUUUCCGGAUGAGUUGCGAACGGGUGAGUAACGCGUAGGUAACCUGCCUGGUAGCGGGGGAUAACUAUUGGAAACGAUAGCUAAUACCGCAUAACAGUAGAUGUUGCAUGAUAUCUACUUAAAAGGUGCAAUUGCACCACUACCAGAUGGACCUGCGUUGUAUUAGCUAGUUGGUGAGGUAACGGCUCACCAAGGCGACGAUACAUAGCCGACCUGAGAGGGUGGUCGGCCAAAAUGGGAAUGAGACACGGCCCAGACUCCUAAGGGAGGCAGCAGUAGGGAAUCUUCGGAAAUGGGCGGAAGUCUGACCGAGCAACGCCGCGUGAGGGAAGAAGGUUUUCGGGUCGGAAAGCUCUGUUGUAAGAGAAGAACGAGUGUGAGAGUGGAAAGUGCACACUGUGACGGUAUCUUAACAGAAAGGGACGGCUAACUACGUG
rnacentral:rRNA from 1 species